rnacentral:rRNA from 1 species
AUUGAACGCUGGCGGCAGGCCUAACACAUGCAAGUCGAGCGGAUGAAGGGAGCUUGCUCCUGGAUUCAGCGGCGGACGGGUGAGUAAUGCCUAGGAAUCUGCCUGGUAGUGGGGGAUAACGUCCGGAAACGGGCGCUAAUACUGCAUACGUCCUGAGGGAGAAAGUGGGGGAUCUUCGGACCUCACGCUAUCAGAUGAGCCUAGGUCGGAUUAGCUAGUUGGUGGGGUAAAGGCCUACCAAGGCGACGAUCCGUAACUGGUCUGAGAGGAUGAUCAGUCACACUGGAACUGAGACACGGUCCAGACUCCUACGGGAGGCAGCAGUGGGGAAUAUUGGACAAUGGGCGAAAGCCUGAUCCAGCCAUGCCGCGUGUGUGAAGAAGGUCUUCGGAUUGUAAAGCACUUUAAGUUGGGAGGAAGGGCAGUAAGUUAAUACCUUGUUGUUUUGACGUUACCAACAGAAUAAGCACCGGCUAACUUCGUG